GUGGGGAAUAUUGGGCAAUGGGCGAAAGCCUGACCCAGCAACGCCGCGUGAGGGAAGAAGGUUUUCGGAUUGUAAACCUCUGUCCUUGGUGACGAACACAAUGACGGUAGCCAAGGAGGAAGCCCCGGCUAACUACGUGCCAGCAGCCGCGGUAAUACGUAGGGGGCAAGCGUUGUCCGGAAUGACUGGGCGUAAAGGGCGUGUAGGCGGCCGAUUAAGUCUGGAGUGAAAGUCCUGCUUUCAAGGUGGGAAUUGCUUUGGAGACUGGUUGGCUUGAGUGCGGAAGAGGCAAGUGGAAUUCCCAGUGUAGCGGUGAAAUGCGUAGAGAUUGGUAGGAACACCAGUGGCGAAGGCGACUUGCUGGGCCGUAACUGACGCUGAGGCGCGAAAGCGUGGGGAGCGAACAGGAUUAGAAACCCGGGUAGUCC
rnacentral:rRNA from 1 species